rnacentral:tRNA from 1 species
GCGGGGUUAGCUCAAUUGGUAGAGCGCCAGCUUUCCAAGCUGAAGGCGCGAGUUCGACUCUUGCACCCCGCUCCA